rnacentral:misc_RNA from 1 species
AGAGAUCAGUACAGAUGGAAGAUUUGAUCAUACCUGAAUUAUGCUGGAACUAAAUGAAGUUCUCGUUGUUCGGUUUGUUUACACCAAUUGUGGUGGCAAAGCUUUAACUGAAGACUGCUUUGUGGCUGCUUGGUACUUGAAUUGGUAGUAUAUUGAAGUUCUUUGUUUUAAAGUUGGUCGCAUGUGGACCUAGUUUAGAUUAGCAUGGUGUCAGUGGGCAUGGCUGUGACUAGCAAUAAGCAUCUACUAUGUUGGAUUGAGUUCAUGGUUUUGGUAGUCUUCUUGCUGUACAGUAUAUGGUUAAUGAUGUGAAUUGAGAAGAUUUUU